UCCUGGUGGCUUAGGGGGUAAAGCAUCUGCCUGCAGUGCAGGACACCCAGGUUUGAUCCCUGGUUCAGGAA
rnacentral:tRNA from 1 species